rnacentral:rRNA from 1 species
GACGAACCGUGCGAACGUUAUUCGGAAUCACUGGGCUUAAAGGGCGCGUAGGCGGGCGGGCAAGUCCGGGGUGAAAGCCCCCAGCUUAACUGGGGAAGUGCCUCGGAUACUGCCGGUCUGGAGGGAGGUAGGGGCGUGCGGAACUUCCGGUGGAGCGGUGAAAUGCGUAGAUAUCAGGAGGAACACCUGCGGUGUAGACGGCUUUCUGGACCAUUACUGACGCUGAGACACGAAAGCGUGGGUAGCAAACAGG